rnacentral:rRNA from 1 species
AUUGAACGCUGGCGGCAGGCUUAACACAUGCAAGUCGAGCGGUAACAGAGAGAAGCUUGCUUCUCUGCUGACGAGCGGCGGACGGGUGAGUAAUGCCUAGGAAUCUGUCUAGUAGUGGGGGAUAACUUGCCGAAAGGUAAGCUAAUACCGCAUACGUCCUACGGGAGAAAGGAGGGGACCUUCGGACCUUUCGCUAUUAGAUGAGCAUAGGGCGGAUUAGUUAGUUGGUGAGGUAAUGGCUCACCAAGACCGCGAUCCGUAACUGGUCUGAGAGGAUGAGCAGUCACACUGAGACGGAGACACGGGCCAGACACCUACGGGAGGCAGCAGUGAGGAAUAUUGGACAAUGGGGGGAACCCUUAUCCAGCCAUGCCGCGUGUGUGAAGAAGGUCUUAGGAUUGUAAAGCACUUUAAGUUGGGAGGAAGAGCAGUUAACUAAUAUUUGACUGUUUUGACGUUACCGACAGAAUAAGCACCGGCUAACUUCGUGCCAGCAGCCGCCGCCG